rnacentral:rRNA from 1 species
GAUGAACGCUGGCGGCGUGCCUAAUACAUGCAAGUCGAGCGAACGGACGAGAAGCUUGCUUCUCUGAUGUUAGCGGCGGACGGGUGAGUAACACGUGGAUAACCUACCUAUAAGACUGGGAUAACUUCGGGAAACCGGAGCUAAUACCGGAUGAUAUUUUGAACCGCAUGGUUCAAAAGUGAAGGACGGUCUUGCUGUCACUUAUAGAUGGAUCCGCGCUGCAUUAGCUAGUUGGUAAGGUAACGGCUUACCAAGGCAACGAUGCAUAGCCGACCUGAGAGGGGGGUAGGGCAAACUGGGACUGAGACACGGGCCCGGCGCCCAACGGAGGGACGAGUAGGGAAUUUUUCGGAAAGGGCGGAAGGCCUACGGAGCAAAGGCGCGGGGAGUAAGAAAGUCUUCGGAACGUUAAAAUCCUGUAAUAGGGAAAAACAAAUUGGUAAGGAACUGGGCAAAACUUGACGGGACCUUAUCAGAAAGCCACGGCUAACCACGUG